UACGAAGGGUGCAAGCGUUACUCGGAAUUACUGGGCGUAAAGCGUGCGUAGGUGGUUCGUUAAGUCUGAUGUGAAAGCCCCGGGCUUAACUUGGGAAUUGCGCUCGAAACUACGUGGCUGGAGUGUGGCAGAGGAAGGUGGAAUUCCACGUGUAGCGGUGAAAUGCGUAGAGAUGUGGAGGAACACCAAUGGCGAAGGCAGCCUUCUGGGCCAACACUGACGCUCAUGCCCGAAAGCGUGGGGAGCAAACAGG
rnacentral:rRNA from 1 species